rnacentral:rRNA from 1 species
GAACUUAAGCAUAUCAAUAAGCGGAGGAAAAGAAACCAACUGGGAUUGCCUCAGUAACGGCGAGUGAAGCGGCAUCAGCUCAGAUUUGAAAUCUGGUUCUUUCAGAGCCCGAGUUGUAAUCUGUAGAGGAGUCUUCGGGUUUGGAUCUGGCCUAAGUUUCUUGGAACAGAACGUCAUAGAGGGUGAGAGUCCCGUAUGAGGCCAGCUGCCUAUUCCCAUGUGAAGCUUCUUCGACGAGUCGAGUUGUUUGGGAAUGCAGCUCAAAAUGGGUGGUAAAUUUCAUCUAAAGCUAAAUAUUGGCGGGAGACCGAUAGCGCACAAGUAGAGUGAUCGAAAGAUGAAAAGCACUUUGAAAAGAGAGUUAAAAAGUACGUGAAAUUGUUGAAAGGGAAACGCUUGCGAUUAGACUUGCGCUCAGGUGAUCAACCGGUGUUCUCAUCGGUGCACUCUCCUGCUUGCAGGCCAGCAUCGGUUUGGGCGGUUGGAUAAAGGCCCUAGGAAUGUAGCUGUCCUCGGGCAGUGUUAUAGCCUAGGGUGCAAUGCAGCCAGCCUGGACCGAGGACCGCGCUUCGGCUAGGAUGCUGGCAUAAUGGUCGUAAGCGACCCGUCUUGAAACACGGACCAAGGAGUCUAACAUCUAUGCGAGUGUUUGGGUGGAAAACCCAAGCGCGUAAUGAAAGUGAACGUAGGUGAGAACCCUUAAGGGUGCAUCAUCGACCGAUCUUGAUGUCUUCGGAUGGAUUUGAGUAAGAGCAUAGCUGUUGGGACCCGAAA